rnacentral:rRNA from 1 species
UACGGGAGGCAGCAGUGGGGAAUAUUGCACAAUGGGCGCAAGCCUGAUGCAGCCAUGCCGCGUGUAUGAAAAAGGCCUUCGGGUUGUAAAGUACUUUCAGUCGUGAGGAAGGUGUUAAGGUUAAUAACCUUAGCAAUUGACGUUAGCGACAGAAGAAGCACCGGCUAACUCCGUGCCAGCAGCCGCGGUAAUACGGAGGGUGCGAGCGUUAAUCGGAAUUACUGGGCGUAAAGGGCACGCAGGCGGUUAAUUAAGUUGGAUGUGAAAUCCCCGGGCUUAACCUGGGAAUGGCAUUCAAGACUGGUUAGCUAGAGUCUUGUAGAGGGGGUUGAAUUCCAUGUGUAGCGGUGAAAUGCGUAGAGAUGUGGAGGAAUACCGGUGGCGAAGGCGGCCCCUGGACAAAGACUGACGCUCAUGUGCGAAAGCGUGGGGAGCAAACAGGGAUUAGAUA